UUCUCAUUCCUCCUCCAGUGGCAGGAUGUGAUCCACCAGCAAGGAGGGAUGCCAAUAAGUUCACACUACCUCCCAAUGUGACCAUGCUGAUAAGAGCUUCUAAUGUAAACUCUUGGAGCAUAAAACACAUCCAAAUCUAUAGUAUCCACUAUCAAUACAAGGAAAAAGAUGAAGGAAAGGCCUGACUUUUGUAUCUAGUCACAGACACUGCCAGAAGGCAGCAACACAACAUGAAGCUCAUUCCAACUGAAACACAACAAAGGAGAUACCACAGGUGUGCUGGUAUACAACGAAAAUUCUAACUCUCAAGUGGCUCAGGCAGGAGAAUCAAAAGUUCAACACCAUCCUGACCCUGUGUCAAAAAUGCUGUUUUCCUUCUGGAAAUAAAAUUCUGUAUAUACAAGCAGAGCCAUUUUUAAAAAUCA